UACGUAGGGUGCAAGCGUUGUCCGGAAUUAUUGGGCGUAAAGGGCUCGUAGGCGGUUUGUCGCGUCGGGAGUGAAAACACGGGGCUUAACCCCGUGCCUGCUUCCGAUACGGGCAGACUAGAGUGUGGUAGGGGAGACUGGAAUUCCUGGUGUAGCGGUGAAAUGCGCAGAUAUCAGGAGGAACACCGAUGGCGAAGGCAGGUCUCUGGGCCACUACUGACGCUGAGAAGCGAAAGCAUGGGGAGCGAACAGG
rnacentral:rRNA from 1 species